CGGGAAUUUUGGGCAAUGGGCGAAAGCCUGACCCAGCAACGCCGCGUGAGGGAUGAAGUAUUUCGGUAUGUAAACCUCGAAAGAAUGGGAAGAAUAAAUGACGGUACCAUUUAUAAGCUCCGGCUAACUACGUGCCAGCAGCCGCGGUAAUACGUAGGGAGCAAGCGUUGUUCGGACUUACUGGGCGUAAAGGGCGCGUAGGCGGCGCGGUAAGUCACUUGUGAAAUCUCUGAGCUUAACUCAGAACGGCCAAGUGAUACUGCUGUGCUAGAGUGCGGAAGAGGCAACCGGAAUUCUUGGUGUAGCGGUGAAAUGCGUAGAUAUCAAGAGGAACACCUGAGGCGAAGGCGGGUUGCUGGGCCGACACUGACGCUGAUGCGCGAAAGCCAGGGGAGCAAACG
rnacentral:rRNA from 1 species